rnacentral:lncRNA from 1 species
UGCAUUGAUGAGUCUAUCAGGGUAUGCUGCACUAAAAUAAACCAUGAAGAGAAUGUGAAACCAAAAUCUAAGAACAGAGCUAUACACACCCAGAACCGGAGGUGACCAUAUGGAAUGGAAGUAAACAACAUAGAACAUGAUAGUUUGUAGGGCCCAAAACUAUCAGGUCGAUAGCAAUUGCAGAGGUUAGAAGGACAACUAUUAAUCGUCGAAGCCAAAUAGAAAGUACAGCCAUACACAGUGCAACAAAUGGGAUAUAGCAUACUACAUAGGUACAUGUGCCCUAUUCUGGUAACCACAUUUUCUUGUAGGAAGCAAAGCGAUGGAGCUAACUGGAGCAGGUUUUUCGUAUCUGCAAACCUAUAUAUAGGAAAAGGAAUGUAAGAAAAAAAAACAUAGUAGGGCUCUUUGAUUUGAGGCACAUAGUAAAAGCCCGUUAGCAUAGUUUGAUGAAUAAAGUGUUCAGUUAACGCCACCAUGCACUUUUUGAUGCAAUCCUACUUCUGACUAAUGAGUGGUAUAACAUGUACCGAGUGAAAACUGAAAUCAAAAUAAGACUUUUGAAUGGCAUUGGUUUUGAAUGAUUAAGAGAACUGUUGACCUUUGUUGCGCAUGCAAGUGGCGGUAGCUAGAUUUGUUAAAUAUCUUGCUGCUGGUAAAGACUAUGGUGAGCUUAUUUAUCUUUCCCUGUUGUGCUGGUAAAGACUAUGGUGAGCUUAUUUAUCUUUCCCUUUUGUGCCUGUACAAAGCUGUUAGAGUACGUAAGGGGCCUAUUGGGCCUGGGCAGGUGCCAUAGCCCAUUAGUGUUAGGGUUAAUUAGAGAUAAAGGUUGCUUGCUUAGAGGUGAAGUAAGCCUUGUUUGCAAGUCAAGUAAACCUCUAUAUAAGGAGAGGAGAUGUAUUAAUCUAAUCAAGCAAGAGAUUAGAAGGAAAUCCCUUCCCUCUUGCCCAGCCGUGGGCAAGGCCCCCAGCCGGCCUCCUCUUGCUCUCGCAGCCCUAGCCACCGCCACAAUAUCCGUAUGAACAGUACCCACGGGUACUGUAGCACGCAAGCAGCCCCGUCAGCCACCAUCGCUCCCCUCUGCCACAUAACAAUCUGGUAUCAGAUCUUAGGCCUUGAUCCACCCCCCCCCUGCCACCCCCUGCUGCGGCGGUCAUGUUCCUCACCACCAUAGCCAUGGCUAGUCCUAGUUCACUCGCCGCGCCUCUGGUGUUCACCACCACCACAGCCACCGUGGCGCCACUACCUACACAUCAGUCUGCGCCUUCCCCGGAAGCCUUCAACGCGUUGAGGGCGGCCAUCUACCAUCUACGGCCUGCAGUGCCAGAUGGGGGAGUUGUCGGCGCGCCAAGUGGUCGUCACGAGCCGAACGUCGCCCUCCACACCACCGCCUAUACCGUAUGGCCUGCUAGGGUUCGGGGGCAUCCCGACCCUUCCGACGUCGGUUUCGGUCAUUUCGGAGGUCUUCUCUACACGGCAGGUCCUGCCUACGAGUUCAACACCUAGGUCAUUCCCACAACCAGUCAACUGGGUGCCCCCACAACCGGCCAGCGGGCUCCUGACCGCCAAGGAGAGCAAUAGUCCGGCACCGCUUUCCUCCUCUCCUUCACCGAUCCCGUCAUUCAUAGCCCCCAACCUUGUGCCGCCACAACAACACUAUGAUGGCGUCUUCUAUGGGGGCGUGGAUGGCAUUCAAGCAACGGUGUCGAAUGCAGGCAGCGGUGCACUGCCUCCUAGCGCGCCGGCAGGGCCAGCGCCCCAUCUUCAAGCGGCAACGCCCAAUCGUCCCUGCAGCGACAAUCUUGUAGCAGCUCGUGGAGAGGAAGGCGAUUGCACGGGCGAGUGGCUACAAGGUGUCUGCAGCAGUGCGGCUGCAAGAGAUGUGCCAGCCUAUGCACGAGGUGACCUUGGCGAUGGUCGACCUCAACACAGCGGAGCACAAUCUCGCCCUGUGGGAUGGCCACCAACAAGCGCGCUGACCUGCUGCUAUCUUCCAGCAUGAGUAUGGUGUUUUUCCCACGGGACGACCUCCAACUAUGUGGCAGCGGUGGUAGUGGAGCCACUCCACUCCUUGUCAUCGGCGAGGACGCACUGCCUAGCGCCACCACAUUUCGCCACCGGCCAACGCGAGGACGUCUCCACUGGUCAUUAUCGUGACUAAUUCCAGAUGGCUAACCCAUGCACCCCAAUCGUUCUAGUGGGCUCCAUGGAAUCGAGGUGGCUGCACAUGUGCAGGUCCAUCACGCGGAGGGUGUCCGCCGUAUCUUUAGGAUUCAAAAAUAAAAAGUUACAGUUUAUUUCGGGUCAAUAAGAUAAGAUGUAAAAGGCUUAUUUUAGGUAUUAAGUUUGUGUUGAGUCGAGUUAUAAGUUGGUUAGGUUGCAGUUCGAGGACGAGCUGCAUGUUUAGGUGGGGUGUAGUGUUAGAGUACGUAAGGGACCUAUUGAGCCUAGGCUGGAGCCAUAGCCCAUUAGUGUUAGGGUUAAUUAGAGAUAAGGGUCGCUUGCUUAGGAUCAAGUGAACAUUGCUUGUAAGUCAAUUAAACCUGUCUAUAUAAGGCGAGAAGAUGUAUCAAUCUAAUCAAGCAAGAGAUUAGAAGGAAAUCCCUUCACUCUUGCUCGAUCGUGGGCAGGGCCGCCGGCCGGCCUCCUCUCGCCCUCGCAGCCCUAGCUACCGCGACAGCCCUCCGCAGGUACUAUAGCACGCAAGCAGUCCCAUCAACCGCCAUCGCUCCCCUCUGCUGUGGCAGAACCACCUAAUCUAAUGACCUCCCAAGAGUACUUGUCUUCCACUAGAUGCUAGGUACUCAAGAGAAAUCAUUAAACCAUUCGAUUCCGUCGAGUACACCCAGCGGGAGAACCCGAUAGACCACAUUUUCCAUGCACGAUAGCUUACAAUAUUAUUAGUCAUUUCUUACAUCACUUGUAUUAGAACAUCACAGUAUUACUGUCGGGUACCAUAAACCAGGAUACCCCAACCAAGAGGUAAAAAGCGACAAAAGAGGAACUCAGAUCUACAGGAACGUACCUCCCCUCAGACGAGCAAUAAGACCCGAGCCCCGGCCUUGAGCACAACCAACGACUCGUCCGAGCCCCAGCCUCGAGCACAACCAGCGACUCGCCCGAGCCCUGGCCUCGAGUGCAACUAGCGACUCGCCCGAGCCCUGGCCUCGAGCGCAACCAGCGACUCGCCCGAGCCCUGGCCUCGAGCGCAAUCAACGCCUCGCCUGAGCCUUGGCCUCGAGCGCAAUCAACGCCUCGCCCGAGCCCUGGCCUCGAGCGCAAUCAACGCCUCACCUGAGCCUCGGCCUGGGCGCCAGGCUUCUCACGCACGGCGAUCGUACCAUUGACGCGACGCAGGCCAUGCUUCCUCCCAUGUCGCGGCAGGACACGACGCCCACUAUUCCAACAACUCCCGUCCCUGUAACACCUUACACAUGCCACUAUGGGUACGGCACGACAGGAAAGGGAAUGGGAGGUGUUAACUCACACCACUGUCACCAUGCCCAAGCAAUUACUGUUCCACUGGUGCAGGACGGAGCACAGGGCCUCGGACAGGAUUGCCACGAUCCAAAUAGGAGUUGGCAACACCGCCAACAGGGACAACCAUGCCGCUGCCACCACCAUCAGGACAUGGCGACCAAUCUCCACAGCACCGACGCCGUGAUUCUCCCGCAUAUCAAGGAUAGAUAGCAAUAUUUACACAUAUAAAAACCCUGCCUCCUCUUGUGGCUAUAAAAGGGGAGGCAGAGCACCCCAUAGGGACAAGGGAACAACAGACUCACAUUCACUCCCACACUCCCCAAGUCGAGACAUGGGACUCGAUCCCUCUCUAGCAGCUAGCUUGUACACCCCUACUACAAGCACUCUCAGGUCCAAGAUUAUACAGGGUCCAACCCUCCACUGGACAUAGGGCAUCGUUGGCCUGAACCAGUAUAAACCCUCUGUGUCUCUCUUGCAUCACCAUUCAGGUUAAAGGGCACGCAGACUAAUCACUCGUUGGUGCAUGGACCCCGAGUCGAGACAACGACAGUUGGCGCAUCAGGUAGGGGCCUUCUGCGUGUAACACCUUUUCCUCCAGGAAAAGCCCGGAUGGCGGACGGUUUUCACCCACUUCGUCUCGACACCAUCAUGAGGUUUGGGAGCUUGGAGUUCAUGUCCCUUGGCUCUGGCUACGACAUGGUCCUCCUCCCGCCUCGUGAUGACGCUGAGCCUCGUCCUGAGCCUCUCCCGCCCCAGCCAGUGCGCGGAAGACGCUCGGGGCAUCAUGGAGGGGGAACCCAGCGCGGGCGUCAGAGGUCCAGGAUCUCUGACCCCAUUUCUGGGGCCAAGACGCUUCAGGCCCUCCCACCGCACGUUCCUCAUCAGAUCGCCCAUGCCAUUGGCCCACGACGAGCCAGGGGAAAGCCUCACGGAGCCACGAGUUCCACUCCUAGGCCUAACAGGGGGACAGCACGGCCCCCUGUUCCACCUCGGCCGAUGGGCAGAGCUUCGCCCUCGCUCCCUCCUAAGAAGGACCCAAGGGCCUCAACUUUGCAGUUCCCUCCCACGUCGCCCUUAGAGCCUGAGGUGACGGCGGAAGAGCUCGCGACUGCACCUCUUGCGCUCCUUUACGGGCUUAAGAACGCAGCCGCCACCUACGCCUCCUUUGUAAGCACUUCGAUGAGUGCGUAUGCUGAUCUCCCAGGCCACCAUCUGAGGUCCACCCUUGAUCUCAUCGCCACCCCACCGGCAUCCUCAUAUCCUGAGGAAGUUUCCUCGGAUGAAGGUGCAUGGGCUGGAGCUAACUUCUUUGGCCUCGGUGACAUGGAGACCUUCCUACGGUUCCUCGAAGCGAGUAACUAUUGCCUCAGUUACUUAGACUCGGAGGGGAUGACUACGAUCCGAGACGAGAAUGCUUCAACAUCAAGGUCGAUGGAGCAGCCCCGGCCGAUCAGGGCAGCGCAAGGCCUGCUGAUCGACAGGAUGCGACUCCCCCUCCCAAAACGGCCUCAGCGGGUCGUCGUGAGGCGCGGGAGGCCGCGUCUACCCGAGCAGGAGCUCAAUGACCUGACCUCGAACAGCUCAAUGAGCUAGAGGCCAAACUCGAGGAAGAACACGUACGCCUAUGACAGCUGCGCAAAAUCCUGGAGCGCGACCAUUCCGCUCGAGGGGACGGGGGAGCAGCCCAACAUCGCGCCCGCGACGUCAACCGACGCAUCAUCGAGGACGCCGGAGGGUACGAUCCUCCUCUCUUUAGCACGGCUAGCCAAAAUGUAAUGGCCGCCGCGCUACUUCUCAGGGCGAUGCCCGAACCAUCGACCCCUGAAGGAAGAAGAGUGUGCCAAGGACUCCGCAGGCUCCUAGAGCAAGCCAUGGUGCAAAACGCAGAGAGUUCCACACCACAGCACCACGAUUCGCGGGCAAGACGCCCUGGGGACCGACCCCCACCAGGGAGAGCACCAUCAGUACAGGGCCAUGCGCCCCCUAAUCCACAGGAGGGCACCAAGGCUCCAUCCGUCCUCGAGCGAGUCGGAGCCAAUGUGGACGCCAGGGCCACCCUCAAGGCCUGACGCCGUGACAGGGACAAGUCGAGUCUCGGCGGUACCACCCGCACCAAGGCGAGAGGUAGGACCCUGAGCACGACCGCAGCACAUCGCCUGAGCCUCCGGGCCCCCGCGUCUUCAGUGAGGCAAUCCGCAAGGCCAAGUUCCCUGCUCGGUUCCGAUAGCCAGCAAACCUCACCAAAUACUCGAAGAGACAAACCCAAAGCUCUGGCUCGCGGACUACCGCAGCAUGCCAGCUGGGCAGGGCGGUGUCACACCCAUAUUUUAAGAACAAAAUAGGAUGCAUAAAAGACUCAUAUGUGCCCCAGAAACAGUCGCACACAUAAAUAGACAAAUCUCAAAUGUACCAUUGCAGUGUUUAUUACAUAACGGAACAUAGUAAAUCACAUAGUCUCAUACAAAGAUAGUAGCAUAACGUAAGCAACGCUCUCGACGGAAGCUCCAUAUAGGGACACUGUUGACUGGUUGACUCCAAACCUAGUACUUAUAACGGUAAUCCUCAUUCCAGUCAUCUUCAUUAUCAUAUCCUGAGGUGUUGGGAAAUUUCAAGAGUAAGCACAUAUCGUACUCAACAAGUAUAACUAGAGGUUCAUGAGACUCAAAUAGCUGACACGGGUUUGACUGCAUUUAGCUUUUAAUAGUAGAUAACAUAUUCAUAAUUAAAUAGCAAUUGUCAAGGUAGCAUAAAUAAUCCAUUAAUCUCAUGAUCAAGUGUAAGCAUAAUUAAUCCAUAGCAUAAACGAUAAUCAAAUGAACAUAACAACUUAAUAAGCUCAUCGUCGGCGCAGCAAGAACCCCCAAGGCCGCUCAUAACCGUGAGCACGGCUAGUAUACCAGUUUUACACUCUGCAGAGGUUGUACAUCUUUACCCAUGAGUCAUGAUUUACCCUUUCGCCCGAGGUAGCUAAUCUCUUAACCCCCUUCCUAGGGAGGUCGGCAGGGAUCACUAUGAAGUCUUUCAAAAGUUCGUCUAACAUGUUAGGGCCGCAAGGUUUCCUUUGCGAGCAGAUAUAGAUACCCCCCUUCCGAAUGGCACAAUGACGCGCAACCUAUACACAUAGGGACAGGGGCUCGCACUAUACCUGUGUCGGUUCAGCCCCUCCGCCCUUUCGGGUAACCUCUAACAAGCUAGAAAAGGUUUCCAUACUGAGCUAAAGCCAGAGCCAUUAUAGCCCUCAUGGUUGCACUGUUGUCCCGGUGAUCACUUACAGACAAGAUCUCAUAUAGUUGUUUGUCAUCUUUUAACGUUCACUGCAUAGCUAUUAAUCAUCUUACAAGAUCAUGGAUUAUAUCAAGCACUAGCACAUCUACAACAAAUGCAUAUCAAGUAGGUAGCAAGGAAUCCAGGUAACAAUCAUCUUUGAUUUUGCUAAGGUCGACAAGGUGAUAGCAUGCAUAUGAUAUAUACGUGUAUUUAUGAUCCCAAGUUAUACUUGCCUUGCUCAAAGCUCUCCUGAGCCGCUGGUCUUCAAAAGCUUGGUCUUGAUCACCAACGUACGGCUCACCGUCU